ensembl:lncRNA
UUCUCCUGGCAGCUGGGCUUGUGGAAUAUCCACAGAGGAGCAUGGAGCUUCGUUUUCAAAUCCUAGCUUUGCCUGAUAGGAGCUACAUCUCUCAGAUGGAUUCAUUAUAAUCAUGGGACUGUAGGCUUUGAUUCUGAGAAGAUGUUCUAACCCUGGCCUACUUGCUGGUAUCUCAAUUUCAUUUUUCAUGGUGAAAUCACAUUGGUUCUGGUAUUGUCAAGACCAUCUCUCUCUGCAUAUGGCUGCAGAAUAAGAGCAGUGGAUGUCAGACAAUGCUAAGAGACGAUCUUAAAUGAUUAGAGUUUAUUUAAGUGUACCACAACUGAAGCAUUUACUAUGCCUGAGGAAAGAAGUCUGAAGAGAGGUUUCCUGUAAUCACAGGUCAGAGAGCAAAAGCAACAUAGUAAAAUAGAUAAAAACUGCAAACUGUGGCCUUGUUAGACUGACGUGUCUGAGGAACCUAUUAGAGAGGCUUGAAUUGUACGGAGUUUAAGUGAAUGGCAAAAUUUUCCUUUGUCUUAUCAGAAAGCUUCAAAGGUAGAUGAAAUCCCAUUUAUAUUUUUUUACUUCACUCAGCAAAGUCUCUUAUAAGACUAUGAAACAGCAUGCUUAGAAUUAUGAUUCCAGCAGAUGAUGAUUCCUGAAGAUGAUCCUGAAAAGCCUACAGUGCCACCUGCGGAUAUACUGACUAACAGACUGGGAGCUUGCCCAUCCACUGAAGCAUUUGCAUUUUCUGUCAUAAAUAGAAUAUAAAUAGAAGAACAUGACUGCCCAGAGAGGUUCUGAGGACUCCUUCUCUGGAGACAUUGAAAACCCGC